rnacentral:rRNA from 1 species
GAGUUUGAUCAUGGCUCAGGAUGAACGCUGGCGGCGUGCCUAACACAUGCAAGUCGAACGAAGCAUAUAGAAGGAAGUUUUCGGAUGGAAUUUUAUAUGACUUAGUGGCGGACGGGUGAGUAACGCGUGGAUAAUCUGCCUUACACAGCGGGAUAACAAGUGGAAACAGUUGCUAAUACCGCAUAAGCACACAGUAUCGCAUGAUACAGGGUGAAAAGAUUUAUCGGUGUAAGAUGAGUCCGCGUCCCAUUAGCUAGUUGGUGAGGUAAAAGCUUACCAAGGCGACGAUGGGUAGCCGGCCUGAGAGGGUGAACGGCCACAUUGGGACUGAGACACGGCCCAGACUCCUACGGGAGGCAGCAGUGGGGGAUAUUGCACAAUGGGCGAAAGCCUGAUGCAGCGACGCCGCGUGAAGGAUGAAGUAUUUCGGUAUGUAAACUUCUAUCAGCAGGGAAGAAAAUGACGGACCUGA